rnacentral:rRNA from 1 species
CAGUAGUCACGUAGUUGACUCCGUGGCUACAGAACGAACGCUGGCGGCAUGCCUAACACAUGCAAGUCGAACGAGACCUUCGGGUCUAGUGGCGCACGGGUGCGUAACGCGUGGGAACCUGCCUUUAGGUUCGGAAUAACUCAGAGAAAUUUGAGCUAAUACCGGAUAAUGUCUUCGGACCAAAGAUUUAUCGCCUUUAGAUGGGCCCGCGUUGGAUUAGCUAGUUGGUGGGGUAAAGGCCUACCAAGGCGACGAUCCAUAGCUGGUCUGAGAGGAUGAUCAGCCACACUGGGACUGAGACACGGCCCAGACUCCUACGGGAGGCAGCAGUGGGGAAUAUUGGACAAUGGGCGAAAGCCUGAUCCAGCAAUGCCGCGUGAGUGAUGAAGGCCUUAGGGUUGUAAAGCUCUUUUACCCGAGAUGAUAAUGACAGUAUCGGGAGAAUAAGCUCCGGCUAACUCCGUG